rnacentral:rRNA from 1 species
UACGUAUGGUGCGAACGUUGUUCGGAAUCACUGGGCCUAAAGCGCGCGUAGGCGGCUAGGUAAGUCAGGUGUGAAAUCCCUCGGCUCAACCGAGGAACCGGGCCUGAUACUGCCUGGCUAGAGUGCAGGAGGGGAGAGUGGAAUUCCUGGUGGAGCGGUGAAAUGCGUAGAUAUCAGGAGGAACGCCGGUGGCGAAAGCGGCUCUCUGGCCUGUUACUGACGCUGAGGCACGAAAGCUAGGGGAGCAAACGGGAUUAGAUACCCCGGUAGUCCUAGCCCUAAACGAUGGGCACUAAGUAGAGGAGACUCCGAUGUUUUCUCUGCUGAAGCUAACGUAUUAAGUGCCCCGCCUGGGGAGUAUGGUCGCAAGGCUGAA